CGUGAUUAACAUGUGAUUAAAGCGAUAAUAAAUAGUGUUUAAGAUGUAGAUUAACUUAAUUAGGCCCUUGGAGCGUCUAGGAGCGCCUAGUCGACAUUCGCACGUAUGGUGAUUUUGGGAAAUUCUGCUGAACGAUAAGCGAUAACUGACUAAUACCGCACAAAAUACUGACAACGCCGACAAGUACAAAGUUUUUACGUAUAACUUAUACAUGUGAAUGUGAUUUUUGUGGAAAUAACACGCUUUCAAACGCCACAAAAUGUAAACGCGAACGAAAAAUACAAUAGUAAGAAUGCACCGACAACGAAACGGAGACCCCAGACAUGCGUAUUACCUACAACACCAAAGUUUUGUGAUUAUUUAGCUUUGUUUUCAAAUUUUAUUAUCCGUAGUUGAAAACGGGUUAGAAACGACGGAUGAAGUGUUAUACGCGACUUAAUGCGACUGAAAAACAUAUGCGUUUAAUAACAACGUACGACAUAAUUUCACGAACUUUCGACUCUAAAACUUUAUUAUCCGACAAUUUACGACGAUCGAGUUCAGAACUAGGUUUCGUAAACCUAUCAAGCCAUGCGAGACGGGCUUGUGGGCCUGGGCCCAAGCCCACUUAAAAAUCUUGUAUACAUACCCUACAAAAAAAAAAUCAAAACCCUAAUGCCAUUUGAUUUCUUUUCAGCCGACACACACACUUUACCUUUCUCUCCCAAAUAAUUUUCCUUUCAUCUUCAUCAUAUCCUCUCUAACACAAAACCCUAGCUCCCAUCAAGUUGUUCUCAUAAUUUGCAAACCAUCUGCACUUGUGAAGAGAGAAGAGGGCGUAGAGAGAGAUCCGAGAUGGAGUGCCACAUGGUCGACCAUCACAACCGACAUCUCCACAACGACAGCAGCCGGUGGUGGUGACGCGGCUACGCCGCUACUCACGGUGGAGGUGGCGAUGGAUUUUGACAGCAGUUUAGCGGAUGACACCCCCCCUCGACCUGCUACCACCUCUACUCCCCUGCUACACCGUCAGGUGACGGAAAUGGCAGCGCCGCCUCGGGUGGUGCCGGCUGAAGGUUCGAGCAGAGAGAGAGAGACAGGAGGAGAGAGAGAGAGUGAGAGAGAUGAGGUGGAGCGGCGCCGCCGCUGAUGGCGGCGACAGAGGAGGAGAACGGCGGUUCGGUGGUGGCUUCGGGUGGUUGGAGACGGCGACACCUCAGCUCCGAUAGCCGUGACUCCGGGGUAAGAACAUCUGUUUUUUUUUCUCUUUGGUUUCUGAACAGUAAACUAGUUCCGCUCCUAAUUCUCUUUAUUUUCCGAAGAAUAACGAUGAUUAUGUUGGCUGAUGGUGGCCGCGAGCGGCGCGGGUGACACCGGCGGCGGUAGAAGAGGUGGUUAUGUGCUAUCAGUUUUAAGUUUGGUAGUUUGGUGUGAGUUUUAGUUCAUCUUGACUUUCAGUUCGAGCUUCGGGUCGGUGUGUGCAAGAUCUGGUUCAACCUGGUUCAGAUCCGGGUCAACAGUGGACAAGAAUGGUCAACGGCAGUGCGGUUUUGGGUCUCGGUUCAGAAUGGGUGUUAGAAGCAACUGGCCAGUCACAGGUUCGAGUUUGGGUUCGGGUCAAACGUGGUCAACUACGGUCAAAGUCAGUCAACGUUGGUCAACAGGUCAACAGACGGUCAAACUCAGUCGAUGCAAGACCCGGAAUGUCAUAGUUGCACGCUAGCUAAAUACAUGUUCUUGGAACGACACUACGGAAUCACGCUAGGCUAGCAUUGCACAGGAAGGUCAAGGUUGCAUUUUCAAAACUAUGGAAUGGUUGGAAUAGGAGAACCCAUGGGAAUUCAAGUACUUA